UACAGAGGGGGCAAGCGUUGUUCGGAAUUACUGGGCGUAAAGGGCGCGUAGGCGGCCUUCUAAGUCAUGCGUGAAAUCCCCGGGUUCAACCCGGGAACUGCGUCUGAGACUGGAAGGCUCGAAUCCGGGAGAGGGAUGUGGAAUUCCAGGUGUAGCGGUGAAAUGCGUAGAUAUCUGGAGGAACACCGGUGGCGAAGGCGGCAUCCUGGACCGGUAUUGACGCUGAGGCGCGAAAGCCAGGGGAGCAAACGGG
rnacentral:rRNA from 1 species